GACGAACGCUGGCGGCGUGCCUAAUACAUGCAAGUAGAACGCUGAAGGAGGAGCUUGGUUCUCUGGAUGAGUUGCGAACGGGUGAGUAACGCGUAGGUAACCUGCCUGGUAGCGGGGGAUAACUAUUGGAAACGAUAGCUAAUACCGCAUAAGAGUAGAUGUUGCAUGACAUUUACUUAAAAGGUGCAAUUGCAUCACUACCAGAUGGACCUGCGUUGUAUUAGCUAGUUGGUGAGGUAACGGCUCACCAAGGCAACGAUACAUAGCCGACCUGAGAGGGUGGUCGGCCACACUGGGACUGAGACACGGCCCAGACUCCUACGGGAGGCAGCAGUAGGGAAUCUUCGGCAAUGGACGGAAGUCUGACCGAGCAACGCCGCGUGAGUGAAGAAGGUUUUCGGAUCGUAAAGCUCUGUUGUAAGAGAAGAACGAGUGUGAGAGUGGAAAGUUCACACUGUGACGGUAUCUUACCAGAAAGGGACGGCUAACUACGUG
rnacentral:rRNA from 1 species